rnacentral:rRNA from 1 species
GACGAACGCUGGCGGCGUGCCUAAUACAUGCAAGUCGAGCGAAUCUUUGGGAGCUUGCUCCUAAAGAUUAGCGGCGGACGGGUGAGUAACACGUGGGCAACCUGCCUAUAAGACUGGGAUAACUUCGGGAAACCGGAGCUAAUACCGGAUAAUUCAUAUCUACUCAUGUAGGUAUGCUGAAAGACGGUUUCGGCUGUCACUUAUAGAUGGGCCCGCGGCGCAUUAGCUAGUUGGUGAGGUAAUGGCUCACCAAGGCAACGAUGCGUAGCCGACCUGAGAGGGUGAUCGGCCACACUGGGACUGGAGACACGGCCAGACUCCGUACGGGAGCUG